AUAGGGGAGCCGUAGGGAAACCGAGUCUUAACUGGGCGAAUGAGUUGCAGGGUAUAGACCCGAAACCCGGUGAUCUAUCCAUGGGCAGGUUGAAGGUUGGGUAACACUAACUGGAGGACCGAACCGACUAAUGUUGAAAAAUUAGCGGAUGACUUGUGGAUGGGGGUGAAAGGCCAAUCAAACCGGGAGAUAGCUGGUUCUCCCCGAAAGCUAUUUAGGUAGCGCCUCGUGAACUCAUCUUCGGGGGUAGAGCACUGUUUCGACUAGGGGGUCAUCCCGACUUACCAACUCGAUGCAAACUGCGAAUACCGAAGAAUGUUAUCACGGGAGACACACGGCGGGUGCUAACGUCCGUCGUGAAGAGGGAAACAACCCAGACCGCCAGCUAAGGUCCCAAAGUCAUGGUUAAGUGGGAAACGAAGUGGGAAGGCUCAGACAGCCAGGAUGUUGGCUUAGAAGCAGCCAUCAUUUAAAGAAAGCGUAAUAGCUCACUGGUCGAGUCGGCCCGCGCGGAAGAUGUAACGGGGCUAAACCAUGCACCGAAGCUGCGGCAGCGACACAAUGUGUUGUUGGGUAGGGGAGCGUUCUGUAAGCCUGCGAAGGUGUACUGUGAGGUAUGCUGGAGGUAUCAGAAGUGCGAAUGCUGACAUAAGUAACGAUAAUGCGGGUGAAAAACCCGCACNGAAACCCGGUGAUCUAUCCAUGGGCAGGUUGAAGGUUGGGUAACACUAACUGGAGGACCGAACCGACUAAUGUUGAAAAAUUAGCGGAUGACUUGUGGAUGGGGGUGAAAGGCCAAUCAAACCGGGAGAUAGCUGGUUCUCCCCGAAAGCUAUUUAGGUAGCGCCUCGUGAACUCAUCUUCGGGGGUAGAGCACUGUUUCGACUAGGGGGUCAUCCCGACUUACCAACUCGAUGCAAACUGCGAAUACCGAAGAAUGUUAUCACGGGAGACACACGGCGGGUGCUAACGUCCGUCGUGAAGAGGGAAACAACCCAGACCGCCAGCUAAGGUCCCAAAGUCAUGGUUAAGUGGGAAACGAAGUGGGAAGGCUCAGACAGCCAGGAUGUUGGCUUAGAAGCAGCCAUCAUUUAAAGAAAGCGUAAUAGCUCACUGGUCGAGUCGGCCCGCGCGGAAGAUGUAACGGGGCUAAACCAUGCACCGAAGCUGCGGCAGCGAACGUAUCACUUAAAUUUGUUUGAGUGAAUAACGAUUGACGGAACGAAGUGACGUCAAUGCGUUAAUGAAAGUCGAGGCGAAAGCACGACAAAGCGAAUUUAAGGAUACGUUCGUUGGGUAGGGGAGCGUUCUGUAAGCCUGCGAAGGUGUACUGUGAGGUAUGCUGGAGGUAUCAGAAGUGCGAAUGCUGACAUAAGUAACGAUAAUGUGGGUGAAAAACCCGCACGCCGGAAGACCAAGGGUUCCUNAGUUGCAGGGUAUAGACCCGAAACCCGGUGAUCUAUCCAUGGGCAGGUUGAAGGUUGGGUAACACUAACUGGAGGACCGAACCGACUAAUGUUGAAAAAUUAGCGGAUGACUUGUGGAUGGGGGUGAAAGGCCAAUCAAACCGGGAGAUAGCUGGUUCUCCCCGAAAGCUAUUUAGGUAGCGCCUCGUGAACUCAUCUUCGGGGGUAGAGCACUGUUUCGACUAGGGGGUCAUCCCGACUUACCAACUCGAUGCAAACUGCGAAUACCGAAGAAUGUUAUCACGGGAGACACACGGCGGGUGCUAACGUCCGUCGUGAAGAGGGAAACAACCCAGACCGCCAGCUAAGGUCCCAAAGUCAUGGUUAAGUGGGAAACGAAGUGGGAAGGCUCAGACAGCCAGGAUGUUGGCUUAGAAGCAGCCAUCAUUUAAAGAAAGCGUAAUAGCUCACUGGUCGAGUCGGCCCGCGCGGAAGAUGUAACGGGGCUAAACCAUGCACCGAAGCUGCGGCAGCGACACAAUGUGUUGUUGGGUAGGGGAGCGUUCUGUAAGCCUGCGAAGGUGUACUGUGAGGUAUGCUGGAGGUAUCAGAAGUGCGAAUGCUGACAUAAGUAACGAUAAUGCGGGUGAAAAACCCGCACGCCGGAAGACCAAGGGUUCCUGUCCAACGUUAAUCGGGGCAGGGUGAGUCGACCCCUAAGGCGAGGCUGAAAAGCGUAGUCGAUGGGAAACGGGUUAAUAUUCCCGUACUGGUGGUAACUGCGAUGGGGGAACGGAGAAGGCUAGGUUGUCCGGGCGACGGUCGUCCCGGUUCAAGCAGGUAGGCAGAGUGAUUAGGCAAAUCCGGUCACUUAAUGCUGAGAUGUGAUGACGAACCACCAAGGUGGUGAAGCAAUUGAUGCCCCGCUUCCAGGAAAAGCCUCUAAGCUUCAGGUUACCAACAAUCGUACCCCAAACCGACACAGGUGGUCAGGUAGAGAAUACUCAGGCGCUUGAGAGAACUCGGGUGAAGGAACUAGGCAAAAUGGUGCCGUAACUUCGGGAGAAGGCACGCUGGCGGUAGGUAAAGUCCCUCGCGGACAGAGCUGAAGCCAGUCGAAGAUACCAGCUGGCUGCAACUGUUUAUUAAAAACACAGCACUGUGCAAACACGAAAGUGGACGUAUACGGUGUGACGCCUGCCCGGUGCUGGAAGGUUAAUUGAUGGGGUUAGCGCAAGCGAAGCUCCUGAUCGAAGCCCCAGUAAACGGCGGCCGUAACUAUAACGGUCCUAAGGUAGCGAAAUUCCUUGUCGGGUAAGUUCCGACCUGCACGAAUGGCGUAAUGAUGGCCAGGCUGUCUCCACCCGAGACUCAGUGAAAUUGAACUCGCUGUGAAGAUGCAGUGUAC
rnacentral:rRNA from 1 species